AUACGGAGGGUGCAAGCGUUGUUCGGAAUUACUGGGCGUAAAGCGCGUGCAGGCGGUAAGGUAAGUCAGAUGUGAAAGCCCCGGGCUCAACCCGGGAAGUGCAUUUGACACUGCCUUUCUUGAGUACGGGAGAGGAGAGUGGAAUUCCCAGUGUAGAGGUGAAAUUCGUAGAUAUUGGGAGGAACACCCGUGGCGAAGGCGACUCUCUGGACCAAUACUGACGCUGAGACGCGAAAGCGUGGGGAGCGAACAGGAUUAGAAACCCCGGUAGUCC
rnacentral:rRNA from 1 species